ACGCUCGACACCUACGGGAGCAGCAGUGGGGAAUAUUGGGCAAUGGGCGCAAGCCUGACCCAGCAACGCCGCGUGAAGGAAGAAGGCCCUCGGGUUGUAAACUUCUUUUGUCAGGGACGAAGCAAGUGACGGUACCUGACGAAUAAGCCACGGCUAACUACGUGCCGACAGCCGCGGUAAUCUGAGCGGGCUGGCAAGGC
rnacentral:rRNA from 1 species